rnacentral:tRNA from 1 species
CAGGGAGACAACAAAAUGUUUAAUAUUAUUAUUUUGUCACCUUAGGUCGAUCGGUAUCUCACGUUCUUAAUUUAUUAAGAAUUUCAUUUCCUAAGUUUUUCUAGGUCACACCCAUUAUUUUUCCUGGGCCAUUAGCUCAGGUGGUUAGAGCGCACCCCUGAUAAGGGUGAGGUCCCUGGUUCAAGUCCAGGAUGGCCCAUAUCUCUAUGUUGGGGGUAUAGCUCAGUUGGUAGAGCGCCUGCUUUGCAAGCAGGAUGUCAGCGGUUCGAGUCCGCUUACCUCCACUGAUUACCACCUCUUCCAUAAUCUGUAGAAAGGAAAAAUUUUGUGUUGUGAUCCUAUUUCUGAACGAAUCUAGCUUCCUAAUGAACUCAUUAAGAUGCUGGACUCAUUGAAUUAAUUUCAUUGUUUUCAGAGAACCUUGACAACUGCAUAGAUUAUUUUUAAAGACAAUAAGCAUCUUUAAUGAUGCAGAUUUAUUAUUUGUGCAAAUGCAUUAAUAACAAUUCUAUUAAGCUGAUGCUUCAA